CUUGUUAUUAUCAGCUUGUUAUUAUCAACUUGUUUGCACCGGCCUUAUCUUUUCUCCCAGAAGAAAAUAAAACAUGUGGGUUGCUAAAGAAUCCUCUCUGCUCUCUUUCUAGGAGAGAGAGAAACAGGAAGACUGAGAGACAGAGACAGACUAACACACACUGUGUGUGUGUGUGUGUUCAUUCCUCUGCUCUGUGAGGUCUGCACAACGCAUCACCGGGGGCAAACUACCUGCCCUCCAGGACACCUACACCACCCGAUGUUACAGGAAGGCCAUAAAGAUCAUCAAGGACAUCAACCACCCGAACCACUGCCUGUUCACCCCGCUAUCAUCCAGAAGGCAAGAAGUCAACAAAUGAGGGUGCCUGGGGACACGCAGGGCCUGGGGUUACCUCCACAUCACCCGAGGAACAGAGGAGGAGUAAGAGAUGGUCCCUCCAUGCUGUCAGUUCCCCUUUCCUCUCCGGAUAUUCCCAGCAUUCUACGGCCAGCGGAACGCAGCGCAGAGAGCAGCCGGGAACUCUGGGAACAGGAGCAGGAAGCUAGCACCGAUCCAGUCGUUCCUUGGUUGGGCCAAGCAGCGCUAGACGGGGAGGAGAGAUUUAGGAGACGGCUGUCACUGUAAAUGGAGCAACAUCGUCCUCUGCUGGUUACUCAUACACUGGUCAUCAGAUCCCACCAUAAUACACAUUAAAAGAAAUACAGUAUAUUGUAUAUCUUUGGCUGAACAAUAACUUUCCCUAAUAUAUACCUUUAUAUUACAUCUAUGAAUGGGUGUAUCAUCUGCAUUCAGUUGGUGGCGGUUAACCAAACAUACUAUAAACUCAACAGCACAAAGUCAGGAUCAAGUUUACAUAAGACAUGAUGCCAAGCAGGUUCAUCCAUCAUUUUAUUGUGCUCUAUGGUAAUGUAUGAUAUCCAUAGUGUGUUACUGUUGAUCAACAUAUUGAUCUGAUCUGUGCUGUACGUUCUGUGGUUGAUCUGUGCUGUACGUUCUGUGGUUGUUCUGUGGUUGAUCUGUGCUGUACGUUCUGUGGUUGAUCUGUGCUGUACGUUCUGUGGUUGAACUGUGCUGUACGUUCUGUGGUUGAACUGUGCUGUACGUUCUGUGGUUGAUCUGUGCUGUACGUUCUGUGGUUGAACUGUGCUGUACGUUCUGUGGUUGAUCUGUGCUGUACGUUCUGUGGUUGAUCUGUGCUGUACGUUCUGUGGUUGAUCUGUGCUGUACGUUCUGUGGUUGAUCUGUGCUGUACGUUCUGUGGUUGAUCUGUGCUGUACGUUCUGUGGUUGAUCUGUGCUGUACGUUCUGUGGUUGAUCUGUGCUGUACGUUCUGUGGUUGAUCUGUGCUGUACGUUCUGUGGUUGAUCUGUGCUGUACGUUCUGUGUUCUCAUCUCCUUUAGUUUGUUUUGAGGAACUCCCCUUCUCCUGUAAUACAAAGGCACAUUCACAUCAGAUAAGCAGACUAAAACCAGUUACAGUCAUCGCUGCAACUCACCAUACGGACUAGGGAGAGGCGAAGGUCGAGAGCCAUGCGUCCUCCGAAACACAACCCAACCAAGCCACACUGCUUCUUGAUAAAAUGCCCACUUAACCCGGAAGCCAGCCACACCAAUGUGUCAGAGGAAACACCGUACACCUGGUGACUGUGUCAGCGUGCAAUGCGCCCAGCCCGCCACAGGAGUCGUUGCUGCGCAUCGGGACAAGGACAUCCUUGCCGGCCAAAUCAUCCCCUAACCCGGACUACGCUGGGCCAAUUGUGCACCGCCCCAUGGGCCUCCCGGUCGUGGGUGGCUGUGACAGAGCCUGGACUCGAACCAAGAAUCUCUAGUGGUACAGCUUGCAUUGUAAUGCAGUGGCUUAGACCACUGCGCCACUCGGGAGGCCCGUUAAGGUCAACGGCAUCAACGGCAUCAUGAACUUUACUCAGUACCCAAGAAUGUUUGCCCAAAACCUGGUUGCCUCUGCCAGGAGGUUGAAACUUGGCCUCAAGUGGAUUUUCCACAAGACAAUAACCCCAAGCACACAUCAAAAUCCACAAAGAAAUGGUUAACCCUAUCAGUCCCGAGACCCCAUCAAAAAUCACCUUUUUAUUUAUCUGACUUUCUUUGUUCUGCAUGACCAGAUAUAUUUAGCCUCACAAUGAAGUGUUUUACCAUUUCCUUUCAGGACAACUGGGGCUACAAGUAGAACAUGCAUUUGACAUGAACAGUUUGAUCAAUGAGUUUUCUUGACAAAUUUAAAAAAAAGUCUGGCAAAGCAGAAACCUGAUAAAAAUGAAUUUCUAUGAAUGGUGUAAGUACAGAAAUUGUUUGCUUAGUGGGAAAUGAAUAUCCAACUAGUCAGUGACAAUUGUGUGGAGUUAAUAGUUUGUGACAGCUUAUUAUAGACACUAUGUCCUGGGAUGUCCUAUGACCUUCUCUGUAGAAUAACCCUUUACAGUAUUAUAGACACUAUGUCCUGGGAUGUCCUAUGACCUUCUCUGUAGAAUAACCCUUUACAGUAUUAUAGACACUAUGUCCUGGGAUGUCCUAUGACCUUCUCUGUAGAAUAACCCUUUACAGUAUUAUAGACACUAUGUCGGCAGGGUAGCCUAGUGGUUAGCGUGUUGGACUAGUAACCAGAAGGUUGCAAGUUCAAAUCCCCGAGCUGACAAGGUACAAAUCUGUCGUUCUGCCCCUAACUGACUUGCCUAGUUAAAUAAAGGUUUAAAAAAAUGUCCUGGGAUUUACUAUGAUCUUCUAUGUAGAAGAACCCCUUACCUUCUAACGACGCUUGUGAGGUCAUAGAGCAAAACAUGUUACACGUGCAUAUUCAUGAGACUUUUGUAGCUCAAAACAUUCAGAUUCUACAGAG